GUGAGGUAACGGCUCACCAAGGCGAAGACGGGUAGGGGGUGUGAGAGCACGACCCCCCACAAUGGGACUGCGACACGGCCCAUACUCCUACGGGAGGCAGCAGCAGGGAAUAUUGCGCAAUGGACGGAAGUCAGACGCAGCGACGCCGCGUGGGUGAGGAAGGCCUUCGGGUUGUAAAGCCCUUUUCUGGAGGGCGAGGCAGGACGGUACUCCAGGAAUAAGCGUCGGCUAACUACGUGCCAGCAGCCGCGGUAAGACGUAGGACGCAAGCGUUAUCCGGAUUUACUGGGCGUAAAGCGCCUGUAGGCGGCGGGAUAAGUCGGAUGUGAAAGCCCCGUGCUCAACGCGGGGAAGCCAUUCGAUACUGUCUGGCUAGAGAGCGGGAGAGGGAAACGGAAUUUCUGGUGUAGCGGUAAAAUGCGCAGAGAUCAGAAGGAACACCGAUGGCGAAGGCAGUUUCCUAGGCCGUAUCUGACGCUGAGAGGCGAAAGCUAGGGGAGCGAACAGGAUUAGAGACCCUGGUAGUCCUAGCUGUAAACGCUGGAUGCUAGGUGUGGGCCAGAGCGGUCCGUGCCGGAGUUAACGCGAUAAGCAUCCCGCCUGGGGAGUACGGCCGCAAGGCUAAAACUCAAACGAAUUGACGGGGACCCGCACAAGCAGCGGAGCGUGUGGUUUAAUUCGAUGCUACACGCAGAACCUUACCUGGGCUUGACAUGUAGGUGGUAGUGAAGUGAAAGCGGAGCGACCCUUCGGGGAGCCUACACAGGUGCUGCAUGGCUGUCGUCAGCUCGUGCCGUGAGGUGUCGGGUUAAGUCCCGUAACGAGCGCAACCCUUGUCCUUAGUUACAAGUGUCUAAGGAGACUGCCGGUGACAAACCGGAGGAAGGUGGGGAUGACGUCAAGUCAGCAUGGCCCUUAUGUCCAGGGCGACACACACGCUACAAUGGUCGGUACAAAGGGCAGCGCAGCCGCGAGGUGAAGCGAAUCCC
rnacentral:rRNA from 1 species